GAUGAACGCUGGCGGCGUGCCUAAUACAUGCAAGUCGAGCGAACAGACGAGGAGCUUGCUCCUCUGACGUUAGCGGCGGACGGGUGAGUAACACGUGGAUAACCUACCUAUAAGACUGGGAUAACUUCGGGAAACCGGAGCUAAUACCGGAUAAUAUAUUGAACCGCAUGGUUCAAUGGUGAAAGACGCUUUUGCAUUACUUAAUGAUGGUACCGCGUCGUCUUAGCUAGUUGGUUAGGUAAAGGCUUACCAAGGCGAAGAUGCGUAGCCGACCUGGGAGGGUGAUCGGCCACACUGGAACUGGGACACGGUCCAGACUCCUACGGGAGGCAGCAGUAGGGAAUCUUCCGUAAUGGGCGAAAGCCUGACGGAGCAACGCCGCGUGAGUGAUGAAGGUCUUCGGAUCGUAAAACUCUGUGAUUAGGGAAGAACAAAUGUGUAAGUAACUAUGCACGUCUUGACGGUACCUAAUCAGAAAGCCACGGCUAACUACGUG
rnacentral:rRNA from 1 species